GGAUCGGGCGUUUCCUCGCGCUAAAAUCAAUGUUCCUCAAUAUCGUUUCUUUGUAUACAAAAUUUAGGAGAGUCAAUGAUAUGUACCGUUAGACAUUAAAUUUGGGAUAAACAAGUGGUAUAUUAUAAGGCAAAUUACACACACUAUGUUAUGACGAAUGUUACGAAGCAAAGUUGACCAAUAUACAAACAGUUGGCGCUCAAGAGUAUAACGAGUGGAAGAAAAAGCAAAACACGCAGGCAGCGAAGUGAAGA